AGUGAACGCUGGCGGCAGGCCUAACACAUGCAAGUCGAGCGGCAGCGCGGGGGCAACCCUGGCGGCGAGCGGCGGACGGGUGAGGAAUUCGUCGGAAUCUGCCUUCUUGUGGGGGAUAACGUAGGGAAACUUACGCUAAUACCGCAUACGUCCUACGGGAGAAAGUGGGGGACCGCAAGGCCUCACGCAGAAAGAUGAGCCGACGACCGAUUAGCUAGUUGGUGGGGUAAAGGCCCACCAAGGCGACGAUCGGUAGCUGGUCUGAGAGGAUGAUCAGCCACACUGGGACUGAGACACGGCCCAGACUCCUACGGGAGGCAGCAGUGGGGAAUAUUGGACAAUGGGCGCAAGCCUGAUCCAGCCAUGCCGCGUGUGUGAAGAAGGCCUUCGGGUUGUAAAGCACUUUUGUCCGGAAAGAAAUCCCUGGAGCUAAUACCUUCGGGGGAUGACGGUACCGGAAGAAUAAGCACCGGCUAACUUCGUG
rnacentral:rRNA from 1 species